GACACACUUAAAAAAAAGAAAAAAACUGCACGACAUGCAAAGGAGGCACGUAUCACCUUCUAAGGUACACUAUGAGUAUAUUGCCAAAAUGCCCCUUUUGUAUGUUCAUGCAAUUUUAUCUUAGCCUUGUUUGAGUUAUGUUGAAAAGAUAAAAAUUUGGUGACAAUAAAAUUUUGAAAAGAAAAAAAAACUCCUUUUCAAUAAAAAAAGAGGUAAAAAGGUCUCUCGAAAAAAAUAAAGUGAUGGCAAGCAUUCUAGGAUCCACGCUGCUUGAAUUUUGAUUGUGAAAUUUCCUGAAACAUGGAUGUGAACAACUAACUUGGGGGCAACAAUGAAAUCCUUUCAAACUCUUUAACAUCCCUCGAUUAUUUGUUGUCCACUAACGUUUCGUUGGGAAUAAAAUUACAACCAAGGAGCAUGUACAAUAAUUCCAACACUUCUGCAAAUGCUCCUUAGUCCAACAGGGAGAAAGAUGCACAGGGAACCAAGC
rnacentral:lncRNA from 1 species